CGAAGGGGCGUAGCGUUGCUCGGAAUCACUGGGCGUAAAGGGCGCGUAGGCGGCCGAUUAAGUCGGGGGUGGAAAGCCUGUGGCUCAACCACAGAAUUGCCUUCGAUACUGGUUGGCUUGAGACCGGAAGAGGACAGCGGAACUGCGAGUGUAGAGGUGAAAUUCGUAGAUAUUCGCAAGAACACCAGUGGCGAAGGCGGCUGUCUGGUCCGGUUCUGACGCUGAGGCGCGAAAGCGUGGGGGAGCAAACAGGAUU
rnacentral:rRNA from 1 species